UACGGGGGGGAGCAAGCAUUGUUCGGAUUCAUUGGGCGUAAAGGGUGCGUAGGCGGCGCGGUAAGUCGGGUGUGAAAUCUCGGAGCUUAACUCCGAAACUGCAUUCGAUACUGCCGUGCUUGAGGACUGGAGAGGAGACUGGAAUUUACGGUGUAGCGGUGAAAUGCGUAGAUAUCGUAAGGAAGACCAGUGGCGAAGGCGGGUCUCUGGACAGUUCCUGACGCUGAGGCACGAAGGCCAGGGGAGCAAACGGGG
rnacentral:rRNA from 1 species